rnacentral:rRNA from 1 species
CAGCAGCCGCGGUAAAACUUAGGUGGCGAGCGUUGUCCGGAAUUAUUGGGCGUAAAGGGAGCGCAGGCGGACAUAUAAGUCCAUCUUAAAAGUGCGGGGCUCAACCCCGUGAGGGGAUGGAAACUGUAUGCCUUGAGUGCAGGAGAGGAAAGCGGAAUUCCCAGUGUAGCGGUGAAAUGCGUAGAUAUUGGGAAGAACACCAGUGGCGAAGGCGGCUUUCUGGACGGAAACUGACACUGAGGCUCGAAAGCCAGGGGAGCGAACGGGAUUAGAUACCCGCGUAGUCCCUGUCUCUUAUACA